rnacentral:sRNA from 1 species
CUCAACAACCUCAGGAGGCAGCUGGACAGCAUCGUGGGGGAACGGGGCCGCCUGGACUCGGAGCUCAGAGGCAUGCAGGAUCUGGUGGAGGACUUCAAGAACAAAUAUGAGGAUGAAAUCAACAAGCGCACAGCAGCAGAGAAUGAAUUUGUGACUCUGAAGAAGGAUGUGGAUGCUGCCUACAUGAACAAGGUUGAACUGCAAGCCAAGGCAGACACUCUCACAGAUGAGAUCAACUUCCUGAGAGCCUUGUAUGAUGCAGAGCUGUCCCAGAUGCAGACCCACAUCUCAGACACGUCCGUGGUGCUGUCCAUGGACAACAACCGCAACCUGGACCUGGACAGCAUCAUCGCCGAGGUCAAGGCCCAAUAUGAGGAGAUUGCUCAGAGGAGCCGGGCUGAGGCUGAGUCCUGGUACCAGACCAAGGUGAGCAGGGAGUGGGCAGCUGCUGAGGAAUCCCUGUGUCCAUUCCUGAAUACCAGAGGACUGCCGACUUCACUGGGGACAUCCCCUGACAGGAAGCUGGCGUCCUCUCCCAGGACAUGCACUCUGCACUAUUAGAGUAGACAUUUGCGGAACUUAUGCCCAAGUCAAGGAGGAAAAAGAACCCAAUGCAGGAGGAAAGCUACCAUAGACAAGGACAUAGUCAUCUCUGCUUUUAGCUUCACUCUGAUUGCUGACUUUUUGAAAAUGGUAUAGAACAUUUCUACUCCCUA